CCUAACCAUCGCGUGAUUCUUCCCCUCCAUACUUCCAACAUCGGUCGUCGACCGCGUACCACCACCGUUGACAACACUCCGUUGACGCGAACCACACCCCACAUCUAUCAUUCGCAUCUCUUUGUCCUCCCAAAUAACCCAAGCCCUACCCAUUCGUUGUAAAAAAGUUACGGGAAUCGUCACCGACAGUCGUCGCCUCCGGCAAAUACUCACCCCCGCCAUCGUUCGCCUCCCGUAUUCCUCCCAAAAAACCUAAUCCACAAUCCUGUUGGACCGAAAGCCUCAAUCACGAUUUCCAGCCACCCACCCUAAUUAAUUCCCUCCCCACACACUCGCCGCUUUCGCCAAUGGCCAAAACUAAGAAUCUCGCUCCCAAGCAUUCGGUGAAGUCCAAGUCAAAGAGAAGUAAGUUCAUACAAGUUUCUUGUGUCCCCAAAAAGGUUUUCGACUUCAACAAUGAGAAGUUAUUUCGCCCUAGCGGCGAUGCUUUAAGGUAUUUUAUAAGAGGAACAAGUUUUAGAGGUCUUGUUUUAGUUAAUCCGAUGCCCAUGUGUGUAGAUCCUAUUUUGAAGUUAAUUAGUUUUUGGGAUGUCGAUCGAAAAUGUUUUGUGUUUUCUGGUGGGGAAGAGUGGGUUUUAAUAGAUGAGGAUUUUGAUAGGGUGUAUGGCUUGCCAUAUGGUUGUGAUAGGGCCCUAUAUCGAUAGAUGAAGGAGAUUAUUAUUAUGGGUAUGCGGAUGAGUUUGCUAAGGAGUAUGGUUUAAUAGGAGAUUAUGUGAAAGUGGUGAAAGAUAGUGAUUUGAAAGAUUUACUGGAUGGUGAAAAAUUGGUGAGGAAGGUAGACUUUAGGAGAGUCUAUGUUAUGUAUUGUAUUUGCUCUCUUUUAGCUGCUGGUUCAAAUGCCCAAAUAAGCCAUCCCUUUAUUGAAUUUAUUAAAACUAAGAAAAUAGCCAGCGAGUACAACUGGGCUGGGUUUCCCUAGGACAAGUUGAUUGCGGGGAUAAAGGCUACCCGUAAAAAGAUGCAAGCAAACGACAUGAAAAAUGCGAGACCUAGUGGCGACAUGCACGCUCUUGUACAUAUGUUCUUUGACAUGGUUGACAAAAAACAGUUGGUUGGCCGUUUUUACACACGCUCACUCAGAACCCUAUCUGUAGAUAAGAUUUGUGAGAUUAUGGGUCCAUCCCAACCUUCCCAUCAAAAGAGUGAUCCAGCGAAAGAGACGAGCAAGAGUAAGGAAUGGUAAGACAGUGAAAUCGCAAGAUUAUUGGACGAGGCUCGUAUCUUAAGAGAGGAACGUGACGAGAAGUUUAAGGAGACAGGAUAUGUUGAUCCGCGUAUUCAUACAGAUGUUGUGGACCCAUCAUUGAAGGACAAGCAAUAUCGAACCUCAAACAAUGCUGCGAAGGAUAAUGAAUGCCCAUCUAUACCUAUCAGUGAAACACCUCCGAUGAAGAAGCAAAAAACCUUCGAGAAGUUGUCUUAAAAAAAUUCUAACCCCUGUUGAGAAAUUAUUCUCUUGGGCAUGACACAAGAGCUUCAAGACGAUAUCGUUGACCAGGCUGCAAUUGCAAUGGUACGUACUAAUUUAUUCUAUUACAUGAUGUAUGCAACAUUAUUAUAUAAUGUUCAACGCAUAUAUAUUUGUUGUAAAAACUCUUAACAAGAAUACAUGUCAUUUGAUGACAUUGCACUGGCCAAGGAAUUUACGUUGAAGGAUCAUCCCCUGGUUAAUAAAUCCAUGGAGGAUGGUGAACAUAUGGGUAAGGAUGAUGCUAUGUUUUAUGAUCAUACGAGGAAUGAUGUUCCCCUGAUGGCGGUUGUCCCUGUUAUAGAAGUGAAGUUUCACAGGGAGCGGUUGCCGUAAAAAAUGCUUUCUUCGCCGUAUGAAAAAUCACAUGAUCUAUCUGAAUCUUUUAAGAUAGGUUCUGAGGAGAAGGGCAUUGUCAAAUGGGCCUUUUUUGGCGAUCCUCCCAAAUGAGAUGAAUGCGGGCCUGUUGUCUACAACGAAAAUGAUCGACCGUUGUUCAAAUUCGAUGUGCAGAUGUUAAAGUUUUGGGGCGACAUCUCCAACAAUAUAAUAGACAUGUGGGCUUCUUACAUCAACCGGAAAGAACUUCAGGCUUCGAAAUAAGAGAAGCGCCCAAUGCUGAAAUAUUGUUUUACCGCGACCAUAAGUUACUUGGUUUCGAAAGAGCUUGAGCACAAAAAACCUGAAAAUGAUUUGGAUGAUGUUAUUGUGGACUGAAGAUUUAUUCUCCUUUAUUCAGACCUAGGGGAUGACUGGAUGGAUGUUCUCAAGGCUGACUAUUUUUUCUUCCCGUGUGCCAUGCGAAUCAUUGGAUACUGUUUGCAAUAUCGGUAGUUAGGAAAAAGACCUACUUUAAUAGCUUGAAUCCAAGGGAAGCAUGGGAGGGUGACUGGGUCUUGUUCUCAAAGUUGUUUUCACACUUCAAACAUGCAGGAGCUUCGUUAUAUCCGGACCGGCAAUGGGAUGGGGAGUAUAGCGUUGAACUUCCUCCUCACAUACCGCAACCAGAUGUCAACAUUUGUGGUGUCUUUACUAUGUUCUAUAUGAAGCACUAGCCACGCGAAAUCUGCCCAGUUGUCUGUGAGCAAAUGUGCAGACUCGACAUAUUGGACAUGAAGAGGAAACAGAUUUGUGUUGCGCUAAUUUUACAGCCAGAGAAUGCACUUGGCCAAUAUGUUCGGGAGAAAGGAAGAGCAUAUGCAUCGAAAGAGCGUGCGCUGGCAAGGCUCAGAAGAAAAAGGCUGCAGAAGAAGCAGAAAAGAGAAAAUAGCGUCCAUCACGUUAUAUGACAAGAGGUAUUGUUGCACGUGGUAAGGGGAGGGGCAGGGGCAGGAUUGGUUGAUGUGCGAACAUACUUGGUUUCCUUUUUGUUAUGACAUCAUAUGUUUUGCAAUGUUCUCGGCCGUAAUUAGGCAUUAUUGUUUAGUUUUCUUGUUGAAAAAAUUUGUCUAUGUUAGUAAUCUGGCAGAUGAAAUUACAAUUUAUCUGAAUAUCUUUAUCUCGAAUAGAUGAAA